rnacentral:rRNA from 1 species
GAUGAACGCUGGCGGCGUGCCUAAUACAUGCAAGUCGAGCGAACAGACGAGGAGCUUGCUCCUCUGACGUUAGCGGCGGACGUGUGAGUAACACGUGGAUAACCUACCUAUAAGACUGGUAUAACUUCGGGAAACCGGCGCUAAUACCGGAUAAUAUAUUGAACCGCAUGGUUCAAUAGUGAAAGACGGUUUUGCUGUCACUUAUAGAUGGAUCCGCGCCGCAUUAGCUAGUUGGUAAGGUAACGGCUUACCAAGGCAACGAUGCGUAGCCGACCUGAGAGGGUGAUCGGCCACACUGGAACUGAGACACGGUCCAGACUCCUACGGGAGGCAGCAGUAGGGAAUCUUACGCAAUGGGCGAAAGCCUGACGGAGCAACGCCGCGUGAGUGAUGAAGGUCUUCGGAUCGUAAAACUCUGUUAUUAGGGAAGAACAAAUGUGUAAGUAACUAUGCACGUCUUGACGGUACCUAAUCAGAAAGCCACGGCUAACUACGUG